GAUGAACGCUGGCGGCGUGCCUAAUACAUGCAAGUCGAGCGAACGGACGAGAAGCUUGCUUCUCUGAUGUUAGCGGCGGACGGGUGAGUAACACGUGGAUAACCUACCUAUAAGACUGGGAUAACUUCGGGAAACCGGAGCUAAUACCGGAUAAUAUUUUGAACCGCAUGGUUCAAAAGUGAAAGACGGUCUUGCUGUCACUUAUAGAUGGAUCCGCGCUGCAUUAGCUAGUUGGUAAGGUAACGGCUUACCAAGGCAACGAUGCAUAGCCGACCUGAGAGGGUGAUCGGCCACCCUGGAACGGAGACACGGUCCAGACUCCUACGGGAGGCAGCAGUAUGGAAUCUUCCGCAAUGGGCGAAAGCCUUACGGAGCAACGCCGCGUGAGUGAUGAAGGUCUUCGGAUCGUAAAACUCUGUUAUUAGGGAAGAACAUAUGUGUAAGUAACUGUGCACAGCUUGACGGUACCUAAUCAGAAAGCCACGGCUAACUACGUG
rnacentral:rRNA from 1 species